GGCGGCAUAGCCAAGUGGUAAGGCAAAGGUCUGCAACACCUUUAUCACCGGUUCAAAUCCGGUUGCCGCCUCCA
rnacentral:tRNA from 1 species